GGGAGCCCAAAAGGGAGCCCAAAAAGGCCCGGCAUCCCUGAAUGGGGAGCGAAGAGGGGGCAGCUUUUGGGAUUGCUGGGACUGCCAGCAGGCUGGGGAGGGCGGGCACCGAGGAGAAGGGGGACCCCCAAUGCAAGCGUGACCCCAGCAGCUGGGACAGGGGGAACCCCGAACAGCAGAGGGGAGGGAGCAGGGACGGGGAAUUCCUGGGCAGGGUUUUCCAGUGCUGAAUCUUGGUGUUUGGGAGGUUUUUCUGGAGGUCAGAUGGCCGGUGAAUUGUAGAGAUGGACGUGGGCUGAGGGACCUUCAAACUCAACAUGCUCGUCCCUUGUUUUCCCCAAACCAGGAUUUCCCAUUGUCACUUCUUGUGAGGUAGUGAGGAAGAGGAAGAUGCCCUGGGACACAGAGUGAGCACUAUCAGAGUCACACAGAGGAGAGGCCCUUCUGCUGCCCCGACUGCGGGAAGGGAUUCAGGCACAACUCCACCCUCGUCACCCACCGGCGCAUCCACACUGGGGAGAGGCCCUACGAGUGUCCCCAGUGUGGGAAGAGCUUCUCCAGCAGCUCUCACUUGACCCGACACCAACGGAGGCACCGGUGAGGGAAGCCCUGCGAGUGCCCCGAGUGCGGGAAGAGCUUCGUGCGCUGCUUCAGCUCCAUCCCCCACUGCAGGAGCCACGCUGGGCACAGCCCUGGUGACCCACAUUCCCUGUGAUCCAUGAUGGGAACACACCUGGCUGCUUGUCCUUUUGGUUUGGCCUUAAUUUUCCUCUGAUUCAUCUUGAAAAAUGCCAAUCGCUUGUUCUAAAAUUUUGAAAUUUUAAUAAUAAUAAAAUAGUUAUGAAAAUAGUAAUAAUAAUUAGAGCUAUAAGAACUUGGACAAUUAGAGUUAGGAUAAUAAAGGACCAUAAAAAGCGUGGAAUUACAGACGUCUUGGUGUGUUUUGCACUCUGCCACACAAAAGCAUGCCUCGCAAACAAGGGAUUAACCCUUGAAAGCAAUAGCCUGUUGCACAUUCAUAUAUCUCAUGAUCACAUGAUUCAAAAAUUCUUUUUAAACAAAGGGUGUUUUCUGGUUAUUGUCAACUUCACCCCUCAUUUUGUCCAUCAAUAUUUUGGCUCCUCAAAGUCUGUUUUUUUCCAAUAGGGAGGCAAUAAUUAUUCUCUUGGGAUUUUGGUGUCUUGUUGCUGUUAUUUCAGUGCAAAGAAUUUCUAGAUUAUCUUAUCCAUUCCUUGAUCUAGUUAGAAAACGUAUCUUACAUUGCAGUUUCUAUUUUAAUAUUGUGUUAUAGCCUAAAACUAUAUUUACCACACUACGUAAAAAGGAUUAAUACAGUACUACAAAUUAAUACAACAUAACUUUCCAAGACAACACAUACAGUAUACCUUUUAAUAUUUGCAAGGAGUCCGUCAUAUAAUAUGCAUUUUUCACAAUCCUCCCUCUUUCUUUUUCUAAAUCAUUUGGCUUGAGCAAUAUUCCUUGUUUUCUAGCCUUCAUUAUUCGCUCAUUUUUUUCACAAAUCAAUCUCGCUUCUUUGAAGGGGUCUUCUGAAUUUCUUUGUUUCUUUAACACCAUAAUCCUUUGCGCUGUUUUAGAUGUAGUCAUCUUUUGGUCCAUGGGCAUGGUCACUACUUGCAGGCCUUGAACUGCACUGGUGAUGAGCCAAAUGAAACAGCAUCAAGCAAGGAAGAAAUAUUAGAGCAGCUAUAGCUCAUAAAAGGAAGAAGCCUAACUUCUUCUGAAUCAUGAUUUUAAAGGGUCAAGAUUUUAGUUGAGUGUUUGAACCAGUUCAUAAUGAAGUUAGAUACACCAACACUAGGUUAAUGAUUAUUAGAUGCUUAACCUAAAGCUAAUUGUUAUACUAUGAGCUCAUUUGUAGAAGGAAGUGGAGCAAGUGAACCAUUAGAGGAACAUACUGAAACCAGUAGAACAAUGCCCGUCACCUGGACUCUGUAGCAAUCCAUCAUGAAGCAGGGAGCCUUGGAUGGUGCCAGAGGGUCACAGAGAGCUGAUGAAGACAUUCCUGACUUCAGCCCUUAAGACCACUGACCCAGUUGGAGACCACCGACCCAAUUCCAGAGAAGAAUUGCGCAGGCGUGAAGGACUAAUGACCUCAUUUUAAUACAGAGCAGGGAGGGGAGGUGCUGGGUUUUGCAUAUGUAUUAUUUUGGGAAAUAGAAGGCAAAAAUCCUUGUACAACACUGUCACACAUUUCGGGAACAACUGCCCCAUGCUGCCUGCCAGCGUAAUAAACACACCACUUUCUAACUUGGA